AGAGUUUGAUCCUGGCUCAGGAUGAACGCUAGCUACAGGCUUAACACAUGCAAGUCGAGGGGAAACGACAUCGAAAGCUUGUCUUUUGAUGGGCGUCGACCGGCGCACGGGUGAGUGACGCGUAUCCAACCUGCCCACCACUUGGGGAUAACCUUGCGAAAGUAAGACUAAUACCCAAUGAUAUCUCUAGAAGACAUCUGAAAGAGAUUAAAGAUUUAUCGGUGAUGGAUGGGGAUGCGUCUGAUUAGCUUGUUGGCGGGGUAACGGCCCACCAAGGCGACGAUCAGUAGGGGUUCUGAGAGGAAGGUCCCCCACAUUGGAACUGAGACACGGUCCAAACUCCACGGGAGGCAGCA
rnacentral:rRNA from 1 species